rnacentral:tRNA from 6 species
GCGGGAGUAGCUCAGGGGUAGAGCGUCAGCCUUCCAAGCUGAGGGUCGCGGGUUCGAAUCCCGUCUCCCGCUCCA